UACAGAGGUCUCAAGCGUUGUUCGGAUUCAUUGGGCGUAAAGGGUGCGUAGGUGGCGCGGUAAGUCGGGGUGUGAAAUUUCGGAGCUUAACUCCGAAACUGCAUUCGAUACUGGCGUGCUUGAGGACUGGAGAGGAGACUGGAAUUCAUGGUGUAGCAGUGAAAUGCGUAGAGAUCAUGAGGAAGACCAGUGGCGAAGGCGGGUCUCUGGACAGUUCCUGACACUGAGACACGAAGGCCAGGGGAGCAAACGGG
rnacentral:rRNA from 1 species